rnacentral:tRNA from 1 species
UAUAAUAUGGCAGAAUUAAGUGCAUUGGUCUUAAAACCCAAACAUGAAGAUAUAAAUUUAUCUUUUAUUAUAA